rnacentral:rRNA from 1 species
UACGUAGGGUGCGAGCGUUAAUCGGAAUUACUGGGCGUAAAGCGCGCGUAGGCGGCUUUGUAAGUUAGAGGUGAAAGCCCGGGGCUCAACCCCGGAACUGCCUUUAAAACUGCAUCGCUUGAAUCCAGGAGAGGUGAGUGGAAUUCCGAGUGUAGAGGUGAAAUUCGUAGAUAUUCGGAAGAACACCAGUGGCGAAGGCGGCUCACUGGACUGGUAUUGACGCUGAGGUGCGAAAGCGUGGGGAGCAAACAGG